UCCCUAAGAUCCCUCGAAGAUGACGAGGUUAAUAGGUUCGAGGUGGAAGCGUGGUGACACGUGGAGCUGACGAAUACUAAUCGAUCGAAGACUUAAUCAA
rnacentral:rRNA from 1 species